UAAACCUAUAAUGGUGAAACCGCGAACGGCUCAUUAUAACAGCUAUAAUGUACUUGAUGUUGAUUAUCCAACGUGGAUAACUGUGGCAAUUCUAGAGCUAAUACAUGCACCAAAGCUCCGACUUUUGAACGAGCGCAUCUAUUAGAUUAAAACCAAUCGGGUUAUUAGCCCGUUAAUUGGUGACUCUGAAUAGCUAUGGCUGAUCGCAUGGUCUUGUACCGGCGACGUAUCUAUCAAGUGUCUGCCUUAUCAACUUUCGAUGGUAGUUUAUGUGCCUACCAUGGUUGUAACGGGUAACGGAGAAUAAGGGUUCGACUCCGGAGAGGGAGCCUGAGAAACGGCUACCACAUCCAAGGAAGGCAGCAGGCGCGCAAAUUACCCACUCUCAGAAUGAGGAGGUAGUGACGAAAAAUAACGAGACCGUUCUCUUUGAGGCCGGUUAUCGGAAUGGGUACAAUUUAAACCUGUUAACGAGGAUCUAUGAGAGGGCAAGUCUGGUGCCAGCAGCCGCGGUAAUUCCAGCUCUCAAAGUGUAUAUCGUCAUUGCUGCGGUUAAAAAGCUCGUAGUUGGAUCUGCGUCUCAGGACCUGGUCCAUCCAUUGGAUGAGAACUGGGCUCCUAGGCUAAUAUUGCCAGUUUUCCAUACGUUACCUUGAUUGGUUGCGUAUGGUGGCUAGCAAGUUUACCUUGAAAAAAUUAGAGUGCUCAAUGCGGGCUAAUGCCUGAAUACUCGUGCAUGGAAUAAUGAAAUAGGAUCUCGGUUCUAUUUUGUUGGUUUUCUGAUCUGAGAUAAUGGUUAAGAGGGACGGACGGGGGCAUUCGUAUCGCUGCGUGAGAGGUGAAAUUCUUGGACCGUAGCGAGACGUCCGACUGCGAAAGCAU
rnacentral:rRNA from 1 species